rnacentral:rRNA from 1 species
AUGGCGAUCAAGAAGCCGUCCAAGACGGACAAGAAGCACGCGUACGACCAGAAGCUGUGCCAGCUCCUCGACGAGUACUCGAGGGUGCUCGUCGCGUCGGCGGACAACGUCGGCUCCAGCCAGCUCACGGAGAUCCGCAGGGGCAUCCGCGGCGAGUCGGUCAUGCUCAUGGGGAAGAACACCCUCAUCCGCCGCUGCAUCGCGGCGCACGCCGAGAGGUCGGGCAACACCGACAUCAAGGCCCUCAUACCCCUCCUCCAAGGGAACGUCGCCCUCAUCUUCACCAAGGGUGACCUCAAGGAGGUGUGCGAGGAGGUGGCCAAGUACAAGGUUGGGGCCCCUGCUCGUGUUGGCCUGAUUGCUCCUAUUGAUGUGGUGGUUCCCCCUGGAAACACUGGUCUGGACCCCUCCCAAACUUCUUUCUUCCAGGUGCUUAACAUCCCCACCAAGAUCAACAAGGGAAGCGUUGAGAUCGUCGCCCAUGUGGACCUCAUCAAGAAGGGUGACAAGGUGGGCUCAUCCGAGGCUGCCCUGCUUGCCAAGGUUCAGCCCCGAGGUUCUUGA